rnacentral:lncRNA from 1 species
UAUGCAAAGUAGUCCUUUGACCUGAGGCAUCAUAGAUGUCUAAUGGUUAGGUCCUUGAUCUUUGAUCAUGUCAACGACAUUCCUUCGGAUUGUCCACGGCAUUGUUGGGGUCAAGCUAUCUAGUCAUGUAGGCAUAUGAAUGCACAACAAAGGAUCUCUAACCUUCCAUGGUGGAAGGAGAAUACUCUAAGAUAUGAUUCUAAAGUCUUUGGCCA